rnacentral:rRNA from 1 species
UACGUAGGGCGCAAGCGUUAUCCGGAAUUAUUGGGCGUAAAGAGCUCGUAGGCGGUUUGUCGCGUCUGCUGUGAAAGACCGGGGCUCAACUCCGGUUCUGCAGUGGGUACGGGCAGACUAGAGUGCAGUAGGGGAGACUGGAAUUCCUGGUGUAGCGGUGAAAUGCGCAGAUAUCAGGAGGAACACCGGUGGCGAAGGCGGGUCUCUGGGCAACUACUGACGCUGAGGAGCGAAAGCGUGGGGAGCAAACAGGAUUAGAUACCCGAGUAGU